GACGUAGGGGGCAAGCGUUGUUCGGAAUUAUUGGGCGUAAAGCGCUCGUAGGCGGGACAGGAAGUUCGUGUUGAAAGACCUCGGCUCAACUGAGGGACCGGCUCGAAUACUCUUGUUCUUGAGGCAAUCAGAGGGUGAUGGAAUUCCCGGUGUAGCGGUGAAAUGCGCAGAUAUCGGGAAGAACACCCGUGGCGAAGGCGGCUCUCUGGGACGGUACUGACGCUGAGACGCGAAAGCGUGGGGAGCGAACAGG
rnacentral:rRNA from 1 species